UCCCGCGCCUCUAACUCACGAAAUCUCUCAGUAGAGCAAGUUGCGGACGCCCUUUCUUCAUCAUCUUCUCUACAAGGCAAGUCGCCACAAUCCGAAUAACAAAGAUGGAUUAUGGUUUCGAUUAUACAAUAAUUGAACAGUCCCGAGGUCAAGAUGGUGGCAAACAGAUAGGUCUUAUAUUUGUCUAGACUCUUUAAUUUAGCUUUUUGGUGCUUUACGGAGCUCCGACCCUGCUUUGGCAUAUAAGGUAACAUGACUCUCAUUCUUCACAUGUAAUGAUUCAUGGAAUAUCUUUAACAAGAAAAAUUCUAAAGGAUUUCCUAGAACUAGAUCAUGCUCUCUGUUAUAGUACAUUUGUUGAAGAUAGUUAAUGUCAAUUUGGAAUCUACUUUUCAAUAAUUGAGUUUCCAGCAACCAAGUAUGAAUAAAUUUUCUGAUAUUUCUUAACUAGAUGGAAU